ACCGCAACACAACAAAAUAAGCCACAACGGAAGUUGUCUUUUUUUUUUUUUUUAAGAUUUUACCACCGGAAGUUAGCUACACCAAGUUUCAGUCCAAACAGAUGGGAAGUUGGAGAUUUUAGGAAGCAGCCGGAGAAAUCAUGUUUUGUCCAUAUUGUGGAAUAAAUCUACAGAUUGUCCUGCUAUACUGUGCCUCAUGCGGCAGGAGUAUUCAGUUUUUGAGAAGUCUUCAAUCGGAAGGUCCUGAAGCAACCAUGGUGGAUGAACUUAUUCACAAGUAUUUCGCAGAGGGCCAUACCUCUGAAAUAAUAUUGGACUUACUGGCAACCAAGCACAACAUUUCAAUGAGUCUCAGCACUUUAAAAAGAAGACUACGAGAUGCAGACCUGACUAAGAGAACUAACUAUACUCCUAUUGCUACUGUACGGGAAGCCAUUUCUGAGGAGCUUCAGGGAUCAGGCAGGCUUUUAGGAUACAGAGCAAUGUGGCAGAUUCUCAAACAAAAGUACUCAUUAACAG